GACGAACGCUGGCGGCGUGCUUAACACAUGCAAGUCGAACGAUGAAGCCGGAGCUUGCUCUGGUGAAUUAGUGGCGAACGGGUGAGUAACACGUGAGUAACCUGCCCUUGACUCUGGGAUAACUGCUAGAAAUGGUAGCUAAUACCGGAUACGACCCUCGGAGGCAUCUCCAGGGGGUGGAAAGAAUUUCGGUCAAGGAUGGACUCGCGGCCUAUCAGCUAGUUGGUGAGGUAAUGGCUCACCAAGGCGACGACGGGUAGCCGGCCUGAGGGGGACACCGGCCACACUGGGACUGAGACACGGCCCAGACUCCUACGGGAGGCAGCAGUGGGGAAUAUUGCACAAUGGGCGCAAGCCUGAUGCAGCAACGCCGCGUGAGGGAUGACGGCCUUCGGGUUGUAAACCUCUUUUAGUAGGGAAGAAGCGAAAGUGACGGUACCUGCAGAAAAAGCACCGGCUAACUACGUGCCAGCCGCCGCCGUAA
rnacentral:rRNA from 1 species